AAAAUCUGCAACAUUUUCAGAUUUUGAAUUUGAAGAAUGAUUUAUCUAUUUGCUAUUUUUGCUGUUAAGUUCAGCCCUUUUGAGUCUUUCUUUACAAACUGCCCAACCGAUCUGAAACCUGUGAACGUGAGUGAACAGUUGUUAUCUGGAACUUGGUUUGCCGUCAGGAGAUCUUUUCACUAUCCUUACUUCGAAAGAAACGAGAUUUGCUCGUGGACAUUUCAAAGCACGGCUGCAUGUCGAAAAUUUCAAUUUCAAUUCGAAAAAACAAACUUUGGAUGGCACAUCAACUUGACAACUACAAACUGUGUUUGGAUUUUUAUGAGCGCCUUGGCUGAUUGCCAUAAAGGACAGUUUAAACUGUAUAAGCAAUGGCAAGACUCUUCCUUAAGAGGAGAUUUCAUCCAUGUCAAAGAGCGUUUUUACUGCGGAACUGGCUUUUGUGUGAUUGAUCCAAGAGAAGACGCUUCCUUAAUUCCUCGAAUCAUGGGCUCUUUGAA